UCGUCAUCGUGAGACUGACUUUUGUGGAGGAGUUCGAGACCACCCUGGCCAACAUGGCAAAACCCCAUCUCCACAAAAAUUGGAUAAUUUGAUAAUUAUCAUUAUUGAGUUUCUGAGACCUUACACAUUUACCAUUCUCUUCUGCACAAAUUACCUUUGUUUGUCUUUCCUGAAGACUAUCUUCCAGUCUGAAAAUGGACAUGAUGGAUCCACAGAUGUACAGCAGAGAGCCUGGAGGUCCAACCGACGUAGACAGGAAGGGCUGAGGUCCAUUUGUAUGCACACAAAGAAAAGAGUUUCUUCCUUUCCAGGAAAUAAAAUUGGCCUGAAAGACGUCAUUACUCUACGGAGACAUGUGAAAGAAAAGUUAGAGCUAAAAUCCAUAAGAUGAAGGUGACAACGAAAAUCAACCAUCAUGACAAAAUCAAUGGAAAGAGGAAGACCGCCAGAAAACAGUAAGAUGUGCCUUGACACAAAUACUGUUGUAUGAACCAUGUGCCAAUCAAAGUAGACAACUGUAAAGUCCUUGAGAAUAUUUUCUACAAUAUUUGUGGCAAAUUCAGUGGGUUCAAAAUUGAGUUUGUCCUUU
rnacentral:sRNA from 1 species